rnacentral:rRNA from 1 species
AAUCAACGCUGGCGGCGUGCCCUAACGCAUGCAAGUUGAGCGCUUGAGGGGGGCAACCCCCAAGAGAGCAGCGAACGGGUGAGUAACGCGUGGGUGAUCUUCCUUCGAGUGGGGAACAACAUCGGGAAACUGGUGCUAAUUCCGCAUAAUAUCCCGGGGCUACGAGCCUCAGGAUCAAAGCCGGGGACCGCAAGGCCUGGCGCUUGAAGAUGAGCCCGCGUCCGAUUAGCUAGUUGGCGGGGUAAUGGCCCACCAAGGCUUCGAUCGGUAGCCGGCCUGAGAGGGCGGACGGCCACACUGGAACUGAGACACGGUCCAGACUCCUACGGGAGGCAGCAGUGGGGAAUUUUUCGCAAUGGGCGCAAGUCUGACGAAGCAACGCCGCGUGGAGGAUGAAGGUCUUCGGAUUGUAAACUCCUGUCGACCGGGACGAAUGCACUCGACCUAAUACGUCGGAAUGUUGACGGUACCGGUGGAGGAAGCCACGGCUAACUCUGUGCCAGCAGCCG